rnacentral:rRNA from 1 species
ACUCAAAGGAAUUGACGGGGACCCGCACAAGCGGUGGAGCGUGUUGUUUAAUUCGAUGCUAAGCGAAGAACCUUACCAGGGUUUGACAUCCCGAGAAGGCUUCCGAAAGGAAACUGUGCCGCAAGGAACUCGGUGACAGGUGAUGCAUGGCCGUCGUCAGCUCGUGUCGUGAGAUGUUGGGUUAAGUCCCGCAACGAGCGCAACCCCUAUGGUUAGUUGGAUUUUUCUAACCAGACUGCCUCGGCAACGGGGAGGAAGGGGGGGUCGAAGUCAGGUCAGUAUUUCCCUUACAUCCUGGGCUACAAACACGCUACAAUGGCCGGUACAAAGGGCAGCGAACUCGCGAGGGUAAGCAAAUCUCAUCAAAGCCGGUCUCAGUUCGGAUUGCAGGCUGAAACUCGCCUGCAUGAAGUCGGAAUCGCUAGUAACCGUAGGUCAGCACACUACGGUGAAUACGUUCCCGGGUCUUGUACACACCGCCCGU